UGGGACAGAGAUAGCAGGACAAAGCAGUCAUUCUCUUUUUCCUCUCAUGGUGAUUAUUGUAUAACUCUAUGCAGCUGCUCUGAGUGAUGAAAAUGCUCUUCAGAUCCUCAAGACAUAGUACUACUGGUAAAAGCAACAACUCUUCUUAGAGUUGCUUGCUUGCUUGAAGGAAGGGAUCCUAAAUCUCCUUCAGGCUUCUUCUAAAACUGUAACCUGUUCUGUCUCUGCACACCAGAGCUGUAUUCUUCCCUUCAGAGUGGCAUUGAAGUUAACAUUUCAGAAAUAUAGUGGGAACCUCUAAACUGGAGUUUAGUUCAAAUUGAUGAUUUUCUCCUCAUAAACUUCA